AUUGAACGCUGGCGGCAUGCCUUACACAUGCAAGUCGAACGGUAACGGGCCUUCGGGUGCCGACGCUUGGCGAACGGGUGAGUAAUACAUCGGAACGUGCCCUAUCGUUGGGGAUAACGAGGCGAAAGCUUUGCUAAUACCGCAUCCGAUCUACGGAUGAACGCCGGGGACCGCGAGGCCUUGCGCGGACGGAGCGGCCGAUGGCAGAUUCGUUAGUUGGUGGGAUAAAAGCUUACCAAGCCGACGAUCUGUAGCUGGUCUGAGAGGAUGAUCAGCCACACUGGGACUGAGACACGGCCCAGACUCCUACGGGAGGCAGCAGUGGGGAAUGGUGGACAAUGGGCGCAAGCAUGAUCCAGCCAGGCCGCGUGCAGGAUGAAGGCCUGCGGGUUGGAAAAUGCGUGUGUACGGAACGAAAAGCCUUCUUUUAAUACAGGAGGGUAAUGACGGUACCGGAAGAAUAAGCACCGGCUAACUACGUG
rnacentral:rRNA from 1 species